CAGUCGCCGCGGUAAUACGAAGGGGGCUAGCGUUGUUCGGAUUUACUGGGCGUAAAGGGUGCGUAGGCGGAUUGUUAAGUCAGGGGUGAAAUCCCGAGGCUCAACCUCGGAACUGCCUUUGAUACUGGCGAUCUUGAGUCCGGGAGAGGUGAGUGGAACUGCGAGUGUAGAGGUGAAAUUCGCAGAUAUUCGCAAGAACACCGGUGGCGAAGGCGGCUCACUGGCCCGGUACUGACGCUGAGGCACGAAAGCGUGGGGAGCAAACAGGAUUAGAUACCCCAGUAGUCCCUGUCUCUUAUAA
rnacentral:rRNA from 1 species